GAUGAACGCUGGCGGCGUGCCUAAUACAUGCAAGUCGAGCGAACAGACGAGGAGCUUGCUCCUCUGACGUUAGCGGCGGACGGGUGAGUAACACGUGGAUAACCUACCUAUAAUACUGGGAUAACUUCGGGAAACCGGAGCUAAUACCGGAUAAUAUAUUGAACCGCAUGGUUCAAUAGUGAAAGACGGUUUUGCUGUCACUUAUAGAUGGAUCCGCGCCGCAUUAGCUAGUUGGUAAGGUAACGGCUUACCAAGGCAACGAUGCGUAGCCGACCUGAGAGGGUGAUCGGCCACACUGGAACUGAGACACGGUCCAGACUCCUACGGGAGGCAGCAGUAGGGAAUCUUCCGCAAAGGGCGAAAGCCUGACGGAGCAACGCCGCGUGAGUGAUGAAGGUCUUCGGAUCGUAAAACUCUGUUAUUAGGGAAGAACAAAUGUGUAAGUAACUAUGCACGUCUUGACGGUACCUAAUCAGAAAGCCACGGCUAACUACGUG
rnacentral:rRNA from 1 species